GAAACAGUUGCUAAGACAGGAUAGGAAAUUAAGAGGCAUCUUUUAAUUUUUAAAAGACCUUUUUCGAAAGGUAUACUUAAAGAGGGGCUUGCGCCACAUUAGUUAGUUGGUAAGGUAAAGGCUUACCAAGACGAUGAUGUGUAGCUGGACUGAGAGGUCGAACAGCCACAUUGGGACUGAGACACGGCCCAAACUCCUACGGGAGGCAGCAGUAAGGAAUUUUUGGCAAUGGAGGAAACUCUGACCGAGCGACGUCGCGUGAACAAUGAAGUACUUCGGUAUGUAAAGUUCUUUUAUUGAAAAAGAAAAAAUAGUGGAAAAACUAUCUUGACAUUAUUCAAUGAAUAAGCCCCGGCUAAUUAUGUGCCAGCAGCCGCGGUAAUACAUAAGGGGCGAGCGUUAUCCGGAAUUAUUGGGCGUAAAGGGUGCGUAGGCGGUUUGAUAAGUCUAUAGUUUAAAUGCAGUGCUUAACGCUGUAGCGCUAUAGAAACUGUCUGACUAGAGUUAGAUAGAGGCAAGCGGAAUUCCAUGUGUAGCGGUAAAAUGCGUAAAUAUAUGGAGGAACACCAGAGGCGUAGGCGGCUUGCUGGGUCUUAACUGACGCUGAGGCACGAAAGCGUGGGGAGCAAACAGGAUUAGAUACCCUGGUAGUCCACGCCGUAAACGAUGAGUACUAAGUGUCGGGUUUCGGCUCGGUACUGAAGUUAACACAUUAAGUACUCCGCCUGAGUAGUACGUACGCAAGUAUGAAACUUAAAGGAAUUGACGGGACCCCGCACAAGCGGUGGAUCAUGUUGUUUAAUUCGAAGAUACACGAAAAACCCUACCAGGUCUUGACAUAAUUUUGCGACAUUAUAGAAAUAUAAUGAAGGUUAUCAGAAUUACAGGUGGUGCAUGGUUGUCGUCAGCUCGUGUCGUGAGAUGUUAGGUUAAGUCCUAAAACGAGCGCAACCCUUGUCGUUAGUUGCGACCACGUAAUGGUGAGCACUUUAGCGAGACUGCCAAUGAAAAAUUGGAGGAAGGUGAGGAUUACGUCAAAUCAUCAUGCCCCUUAUGAUCUGGGCUACAAACGUGAUACAAUGGCUGUUACAAAGAGUAGCUACAACGUGAGUUUUUAGCCAAUCUCAAAAAAACAGUCUCAGUUCGGAUUGAAGUCUGCAACUCGACUUCAUGAAGUUGGAAUCGCUAGUAAUCGCGAAUCAGCAUGUCGCGGUGAAUACGUUCUCGGGGUUUGUACACACCGCCCGUCA
rnacentral:rRNA from 1 species